rnacentral:rRNA from 1 species
AAUACAGGGGGUGCAAACGUUGCUCGGAAUCAUUGGGCGUAAAGCGCGCGUAGGCGGUUGCUUAAGUCGGAUGUGAAAGCCCCUGGCUCAACUGGGGAAGUGCACCCGAAACUGAGCAGCUGGAGUACGAAAGAGGGUCGCGGAAUUCCCGGUGUAGAGGUGAAAUUCGUAGAUAUCGGGAGGAACACCGGUGGCGAAGGCGGCGACCUGGGUCGAUACUGACGCUGAUGCGCGAAAGCGUGGGGAGCAAACAGGA